rnacentral:rRNA from 1 species
AGUGAACGCUGGCGGUAGGCCUAACACAUGCAAGUCGAACGGCAGCACAGUAAGAGCUUGCUCUUACGGGUGGCGAGUGGCGGACGGGUGAGGAAUACAUCGGAAUCUACUUUUUCGUGGGGGAUAACGUAGGGAAACUUACGCUAAUACCGCAUACGACCUACGGGUGAAAGCAGGGGAUCUUCGGACCUUGCGCGAUUGAAUGAGCCGAUGUCGGAUUAGCUAGUUGGCGGGGUAAAGGCCCACCAAGGCGACGAUCCGUAGCUGGUCUGAGAGGAUGAUCAGCCACACUGGAACUGAGACACGGUCCAGACCCCUACGGGAGGCAGCAGUGGGGAAUAUUGGACAAUGGGCGCAGGCCUGAUCCAGCCAUACCGCGUGGGUGAAGAAGGCCUUCGGGUUGUAAAGCCCUUUUGUUGGGAAAGAAAAGCAGCAGGUUAAUACCCCGCUGUUCUGACGGUACCCAAAGAAUAAGCACCGGCUAACUUCGUG